rnacentral:rRNA from 1 species
UACGGGGGGAGCAAGCGUUGUUCGGAAUUACUGGGCGGAAAGGGCUCGUAGGCGGCCAACUAAGUCAGACGUGAAAUCCCUCGGCUUAACCGGGGAACUGCAUCUGAUACUGGAUGGCUUGAGAUUGGGAGAGGGAUGCGGAAUUCCAGGUGUAGCGGUGAAAUGCGUAGAUAUCUGGAGGAACACCGGUGGCGAAGGCGGGUCUCUGGGCCGAUACUGACGCUGAGGAGCGAAAGCGUGGGGAGCGAACAGG